rnacentral:rRNA from 1 species
UACGAACCGUGCGAACGUUGUUCGGAAUCACUGGGCUUAAAGGGCGCGUAGGCGGGCCCGCAAGUCAGGGGUGAAAUCCCACGGCUCAACCGUGGAAGUGCCUUUGAUACUGUGGGUCUUGAGGGAGGUAGGGGCGUGCGGAACUUCCGGUGGAGCGGUGAAAUGCGUAGAUAUCGGAAGGAACACCGGUGGCGAAAGCGGCGCGCUGGACCUCUUCUGACGCUGAGGCGCGAAAGCCAGGGGAGCAAACGGG